rnacentral:rRNA from 1 species
GACGAACGCUUGCGGCGUGCCUAAGAAAUGCAAGUCGAGCGAGAUUUAGCCUUCGGGCGAAGAUCUAGCGGCGAACGGUCGCGUAACACGUAAGCAACCUGCCCUAAAGUUUGGGAUAGCCCUCCGAAAGGAGGAUUAAUACCGGAUGUGGAUGCUUCCUCGCAUGUGGGAGUGUCUAAAGCAGCAAUGCGCUUUAGGAUGGGCUUGCGGCCUAUCAGCUAGUUGGUGUGGGUAACGGCUCACCAAGGCGACGACGGGUAGCUGGUCUGAGAGGAUGGUCAGCCGGACUGGGACUGAGAUACGGCCCAGACUCCUACGGGUGGCUG